GCCGGGCCCACCCGUCAGCCUCCUUCUUUCCUCCUCCUCUCUGUUCUGCGCCGCGGCACGCACGCGUCGCCACGCGCCGGCCAUCCCCGGCUUCCGUGCCGCGCGCGUCCUCCGCUCGCCCCAUCCUCCACGACGACGCCGCGGCCUUAUCCUUCCCCGCUGCCGUGUUCUCCUUCUCCUCCCCAUCUUCCUCCUCCUGGAACUCGAGCAGAGCUCGCCCCCAUCGCCGCGCCGACGAACUCCGGCCGCCGUUCCUCGAUUUCGCGCGCCCACGGCCCCCUCACCUCGCCCUCCACCUCCUCCAGCCUCCUCGAGCUCGCUCCCGCGUUUUCCCGGCGGAAUCGAGCCCGCGCCGCCCGGCCGCCAUUGACGCCGCCGCGAGGAGCUCCGUCGGCCGCCGUCGAUUCGCCGUCUCCGGGCCGUUGGUGCAGCCCUCCGCCCGCCGCCGCUGUUCGUCGUCGCGCCGCCCCGUCGUCGCUCCUCUCCGCCCGUGCCGUUGUUGGUGAGCUUUGCCGUCGCCUGGAACAUGCCUUGCGUGCGCCUCCGGCCCCUCUCCAGCCCUGCUUCGCCGCGCCGCCGUCCGCCGCGUCGCGCGCGUCGUGGGUCUGUUCGUGGACAUGAAGAAGAAGAUGAGCAGUGGUAGAAGCUAAUAACAAUCUUUGUUGUACUUGUGUGUGUUUGAGUUUGCAAAAAUCAUAGAAAAAUAUAUAUAGAUCCAAAAAUAGUGAAACUUGUUUUGUUAGUUUCCUUUUGCUUAGAUCUACUCCUGAAAAAUAUAGUUUUGCAUGUUACUGUCCUGUAGAUUUACUUGUGGUUUAAUAUUGCAAAAGUGAGUUAAAUGCUUAGUUAUUUGUGUGAUGCUCUAAAAAUGCUAAACCAAAUUUUGUUAGGCUCCUUGUGAAAUGUUCUUUCCAGUGGUACAACUUGCUUGCAUGAAUCUCGCAUGUUGGUUAGCGUUUUGUUUCGAUUUUGUGCUUGGUCUGAAAUGUUGUUUAUUGCAUUAAUAUUUUCUGAAAAUGAUAAAAUGGCAAAACCACUUUUGUUAGCCUUGUUUACAUGUUUAGUUCCUGUGCAAAUUUUAUGGAAAUUGUUUGGACUCGUUUGCAUGUUCUUUUUUUUAUCUUAUUUAGAGUAACUAAAAAUUGAUAUAUUUAUGAUUAAUUCUAGGAAAAUGCUUUUGAUGUAAAUCCAAAUUUUCAUGAGUUCCUUGUAAUGUUCUUUGCUUUCUCAAUUUAAUUUGUGAUUUAUGUUUGUUUAAUAAGUUUAUUUCCUAAUUCUUGCUCUAGUUUCCUCGUUCGUGUUUGCAUAGUGAUUGGUUGUUGUCGCGUGUGUUACGUUUGUGCAUCAUCGCAUAUGUGCCAUUCAUUAUUCACGUCUUGUCACCCUUGCAUAAUCUAGGAUAUCACACUAAUGCAUGCAUCUCAUUUCAUGCAUAGCAUUUGUUGCACAAUCAGGGCAUCAUGCUAAUUCUGGCAUCUCAUUCAUGCAUUAUAGUGACUGAACCGUCGGAGAACGAACCCGUUGAGCCUGCCGAGUCCGUCGAGCCUGAACCCGGAAUCACGUUCAUGGUCGAGCCCGAAGUUAACCCAGGCAAGCAGCUAAGCAUGAUUCUUUACUCCUAUUUAAUCUGAGUUAGUUAGUUACAUCACCGGGUAAUAUGGGGUUAUAUAGUAUGUAUGUAUUGCAUUUUGAUACCUAUUCUCUUGCAUUACCCUUCCUUGAAUUGUUAUCCAUGUCCUUGUCACUUGUUAGUCAGUUAAUAACUUAAUCUGAUUAGAUGCUUAGCCCUGCUUAGAAUACUCAUAUUGCUUGCUCGAAAGGAAUGGUUUGGAGUAUCACACUUACCUGAUUAUCCUUGAGUGCACUUGAGUAUCUGGGACAAGUGGAGUGCAGUAUCGAGAUUCGAGCGGAA